GAUGUUAUAACCUUGUUUACCCGUAUUCGAAAACGGUACUGCCAUAUAGGCGGGGUACGAGACGCGAGGACGCGAGGUCGGCUACUCGGCUCGCUUACUUUAAUAGUUUUCUGUCAUGGCGUCAUAGAACAUUUUGUUGUUAUAAACCUUAACGGCUUAUUGCUCAACGUGUUUUCUUAACUCGCUUAGUUAAUCGACGCUAGUGAAUCACGGUUCAAUAUUAUCACGUACCUACUCUAUAAAUUGUUAUUCGUGUACUCACAUUGUUAAUUGUUUUAAUAGUGCGUACUGAUGUCGGUAAUUUGGAAUUCAAUGCAUCUAAUUUUAAUAUAAUCGUUUGAUUGACAUUUACUUUUGUUUACAAUAUUCAAUAUGACGUGGUCGGUUAUUCACUUCUCUAAAGAUAAUGGAGUAGAGGUAGUACCUAGCACAUGGUUUAAAGAUGAUACAUGUGAUUGGCCUAAGAAAAACACCACCGGGGCCAUAGGGUUGAAGGGCAAUGGGUUUUUUACAUUAGACAAUAUAGAAGAAAAGAUAAGAAAUACCAUGCAUCAUUGACUAAACAGUUAGCUGGACUUGGCGGAAUAAGUAUCAAAGUCAUGGUCAAAAGAAUCAUGGGAUAUUUGUUCACUGACAACAUCUUAGCCUUAUAUUCUUUUAAUGGCAGAGCAAAUAAAAAAAAUGUUUUGCAAAUCUAUCCAUUUCAAAAGUUAUAUUCAGUGCUGUUAUAUCAAUUAAACGAUUGAAUAAUGAAUCAUCGACCGAUGAAAUUGAAAAAUACAUUAAGUAUUAUCUCAUUCAAGCACCAUUCUACAUAAAAGAAGAAAAAAGAAAUGUUUCAUUGAAUAUGAAUAUCAUUUAAUUUUGUAAUUAUUAUGUACAAUAUAAUAUAGCUAGGCUAGGUUUGCCUUUUAGUUAUAUCAUGUUUCAACUAUAUAUAUACUAUUAUAUUAUAUUCUAAAUAAAUGUAUAGGUACAUUAUGUUUUUACUAUUAUUAUAUUGUUAUAGGGCCUAACAAUAUAUGUUGAAUAUGUAAUACAUUAAUUAUUUUGAAUAUUUUUGAAAUAAUAAAGAUAA